CCUACGGGCGGCAGCAGUGGGGAAUAUUGGACAAUGGGGGCAACCCUGAUCCAGCCAUGCCGCGUGAGUGAUGAAGGCCUUCGGGUCGUAAAGCUCUGUGGAGAGGGACGAACUUCCGGCGGUUAAUACCCGGCGGAUUGACGGUACCUCUUUAGCAAGCACCGGCUAACUCCGUGCCAGCAGCCGCGGUAAUACGGAGGGUGCAAACGUUGCUCGGAAUCAUUGGGCGUAAAGCGCACGUAGGCGGGUUGUCAAGUCGGAUGUGAAAGCCCUCGGCUUAACUGAGGAAGUGCAUUCGAAACUAGCAGCCUUGAGUACAGAAGAGGGUCGCGGAAUUCCCGGUGUAGAGGUGAAAUUCGUAGAUAUCGGGAGGAACACCAGUGGCGAAGGCGGCGACCUGGGCUGAUACUGACGCUGAGGUGCGAAAGCGUGGGGAGCAA
rnacentral:rRNA from 1 species